rnacentral:lncRNA from 1 species
AUGGGAAUGAUCUUCUGCCGCCGGUCGCCCAUACUAGGGUUUCUUAAACUCAAGUGGGUUGACCGAGUUUUGUGGAGGAAAAGCACGUUGGAUAGUGUAGCCUACAUUUAGGAGUAUGUGGGUCUAAUUAGGAGUAUGUGGGUCUAAUUAGUAGGGGAAUUGGUUUAUUUCCGUUGAGUAUUUAGGCUAUUUAUAGCCAUUGUUUAUGUUGAAUAGAAGUGCAACUUUUAUUAUCAUCUUUCUACAACAUUCACUUUUCAUAUUACUUUUCUUUUCUGCCAUACACAUACGAAUCGAAGAGUAGUUACAUAAUUUCUUUGGGCCUGAAACCAACAAAUAAGAGAUCGAGAACAGAAGUUGUAGAACAAGGAAAACAAACAACUAUAUUGUACAAUACUAUAUAAAAGUUUUGAUUGUAUGAAUUGUUUGAUAAUGCUUGUUUUUGUGCUUAUAAUAGUAUGGUUUAAGUCUGUUUUGUUGUACAUCAUGCAAAAAGGAAAAGAAUAAGAAGCCAAACUUUUAUAUUCAUAACACAGUAACAUACAUUCUACCAAAGUAAGGUUAAAUGUAUGUGCAUAAAUUAUAUUGUAAAUCGCAAGAAUGUUCAUAAAUCUUAAAUUCUAGAAAGCUGUGAGAAAAUUGUAAGCAUAAAAAUGAACUUUAAGCAUUCUUUACGUUAGCCCAUUUGGUUAUGGCUCUUAAAGGGAAGGUCCCAUCCUUCGUAUCCGACCCCAUUAAAAUUCCAUUCCAUCACUAAUCCUGGCGUCAUCAUCAUCUUCGUUGAUGACGUCAUCAAUCUUGCCGGAAUUCUCAAGUUUUUCAGAAUCAAUCAGUACUGCAUUGUAUUUUCAUUUUGCAAUGCAUAUUUAUAUAACUGUGAGGUGUCUAUAUAAGUAAUAUUAUUAGAGAUACAGGCAACCCUAGUUAUAAUUUUGAUGCCUAGUUACUUUGCAAGUUUUUGUAGACGGAUUCACAAACAAGGAUGAGAUUUAUAAGGAUUUCUCGAGCAAACCUUCAAUGGUAUCUUAUGGAAUGGCAUCAAUUCGGAACAGCUUUCUCUUAGCUGAUUGAUUGAUUAUAUGAGUUAGACAUAAUUACGGAUUUGAUUUAUAAUUAUCAUUCAUUGUAAAGAUUUGGAUUGAUUAGUAUUUCCUAUAAUAGUCGAUAGGGUUACAUUUUACAUACCCUAUAUAUAGGGGUU